rnacentral:rRNA from 1 species
UGGGGAAUAUUGGGCAAUGGAGGAAACUCUGACCCAGCGACGCCGCGUGCGGGAUGAAGGCCUUCGGGUUGUAAACCGCUUUCAGCAGGGAAGAAGCGAAAGUGACGGUACCUGCAGAAGAAGCACCGGCUAACUAUGUGCCAGCAGCCGCGGUAAUACAUAGGGUGCAAGCGUUGUCCGGAAUUAUUGGGCGUAAAGAGCUCGUAGGUGGUUCGUCACGUCGGAUGUGAAACUCUGGGGCUUAACCCCAGACCUGCAUUCGAUACGGGCGAGCUUGAGUAUGGUAGGGGAGUCUGGAAUUCCUGGUGUAGCGGUGGAAUGCGCAGAUAUCAGGAGGAACACCAAUGGCGAAGGCAGGACUCUGGGCCAUUACUGACACUGAGGAGCGAAAGCGUGGGGAGCGAACAGGAUUAGAUACCCUGGUAGUCCACGCCGUAAACGGUGGGCACUAGUUGUGGGGACCUUCCACGGUCUCUGCGACGCAGCUAACGCAUUAAGUGCCCCGCCUGGGGAGUACGAUCGCAAGAUUA